UCCGGUAUGGUGUAACGGCUAACAUUACCGCCUUUCAUAAUAGUCAGUUGUGGCCGCGGUAGCUCGGGGUUCGAUUCCCCGUACCGGAA